rfam:Aedes albopictus isolate Foshan contig39545, whole genome shotgun sequence.
UAGCCUAAUGGUUAAGGCUAUGGAUCGCCAAUCCGGAGACGACGGGUUCGAUUUCCGU